rnacentral:rRNA from 1 species
UACGUAGGGGGCAAGCGUUGUCCGGAUUCAUUGGGCGUAAAGAGCUCGUAGGCGGCUUGGCAAGUCGGGUGUGAAAACUCCAGGCUCAACCUGGAGACGCCACCCGAUACUGCCAUGGCUUGAGUCCGGUAGGGGACCACGGAAUUCCUGGUGUAGCGGUGAAAUGCGCAGAAAUCAGGAGGAACACCGGUGGCGAAGGCGGUGGUCUGGGCCGGUACUGACGCUGAGGAGCGAAAGCGUGGGGAGCGAACAGG